AGAACGAACGCUGGCGGCAGGCUUAACACGUGCAAGUCGAGCGCCUCGGCAACGGGGAGCGGCAGACGGGUGAGUAACGCGUGGGAACAUACCCUCCGGUUCGGAAUAACUCAGGGAAACUUGAGCUAAUACCGGAUACGGCAACCAAGAGAGAUUUUGGCGGCGAAAGAUUUAUCGCCGGAGGAUUGGCCCGCGUCCGAUUAGCUAGUUGGUGUGGUAAUGGCGCACCAAGGCGACGAUCGGUAGCUGGUCUGAGAGGAUGAUCAGCCACAUUGGGACUGAGACACGGCCCAAAACUCCUACGGGAGGCAGCAGUGGGAAUAUUGGACAAUGGGCGCAAGCCUGAUCCAGCCAUGCCGCGUGAGUGAUGAAGGCCUUAGGGUUGUAAAGCUCUUUCACCCACGACGAUAAUGACGGUAGUGGGAGAAGAAGCCCGCUAACUUCGUGCCAGCAGCCGC
rnacentral:rRNA from 1 species